GGGGUUGUAGCUCAAUGGUAGAGCACUCACCCCACAUGUGGAAGGCACUGGUUUCAAUCCUCAGCACCA
rfam:Ictidomys tridecemlineatus contig022553, whole genome shotgun sequence.